rnacentral:rRNA from 1 species
AAGAGUACGUGAAACCGUUCAGAGGUAAACGGAUGGGACCGCAACCUCCCCUGCGGAAUUCAACCCUUGGCCAGUCGGUCCCGCGUGGAUCCGGAUCGCAAGACCGGGCCGCGUUGGAGCCGGCAUCCGGGGGCGCAUUUUUCGCGGGGGGAAGCCGCGACCGGUUCGGCGUCGGUCAGAAGCCCCGUGGGAAGGUAGCUUCUCCUUCGGGUGAAGUGUUACAGCCUGCGGAGGUGUUGGCCCGGCGCCGGACCGAGGGACACCCGCCGCAGCGGGGGCCCUUGCCCCGUACGCCCGUUCGACUGGGAGGGACUGUCCUCAGUGCCUCCCGACCGCGGGCGGACGAGGGUCGGGAUCACCCCCUCUGUCCUCAGGGUCCGCGGCCGUUCGGUCGGCUCCCUAUCCGACCCGUCUUGAAACACGGACCAAGGAGUCUAACAUGUGCGCGAGUCAUGGGGCUCUACGAAACCUAAAGGCGCAAUGAAGGUGAAGGCCCUCCUCUAGGUGGGCCUAGGUCGGAUCCCGUCCCCUGGGACGGGCGCAAGACUGGCCCGUCUCGAAGGCAUCGUCCUUGAGGCGGAGCAAGAGCGUACACGUUGGGACCCGAAAGAUGGUGAACUAUGCCUGAGUAGGACGAAGCCAGAGGAAACUCUGGUGGAGGUCCGUAGCGAUUCUGACGUGCAAAUCGAUCGUCAAACCUGGGUAUAGGGGCGAAAGACUAAUCGAACCAUCUAGUAGCUGGUUCCCU